AUGGAGUCUGGAAUAAGAUAGUAAGAAGGAAAAACAUCUUUUUACAUCAGAAGUUUCACCUGAAGCCAACCUUCCCAAGAAAGCAUCCUGCCUGUCUCCAUAUAAACCAGUUCAGAUAGAAGCUGUGAUGUUGAAAGUCAAACACCAAUUAGGACAUGUUCCAGUUCAGCCCUUUAAAGCCAGUCUGUUCUCAGAACUUGGUUCUUGGAGGUGUGUCUUUCUCCUAGAGAGGAGCUUAUUUACAGCAAGUGUGUAACCUGUCAUCGACAGAGAUCAGUACCUUCCUUCUCCACCCCAAGCUCCAUUGGGAGUCACAACUACCUCUCGGAUGGAAUCUGCUUCAGUGUUAUAAACCAUCAGCUUCAGCGGCUUCCCCUCAUGGGAUUCAAUCAGGGAAAAGAAAUCCUCUGACUAUGAAAAAAAUAAAAGAAAGUAGUAGUUAAUAAACCCAAA